UACCUGCAGCCCAAGUGGUGGCCGCUAUUAUUGGGCCUAAAACGUCCGUAGCCGGUUCUAUAAAUGCCUGGGUAAAUCGUACGGCUUAACCGUACGAAUUCCGGGUAGACUGUUCAACUUGGGACCGGGAGAGGCUAGAGGUACUCCUGGGGUAGAGGUGAAAUUCUGUAAUCCUAGGGGGACCACCAGUGGCGAAGGCGUCUAGCUAGAACGGGUCUGACGGUGAGGGACGAAGCCCUGGGGCGCAAAC
rnacentral:rRNA from 1 species